UACGAGGGGGGCAAGUGUUGUUCGGAAUCACUGGGCGUAAAGGGAGCGUAGGCGGGAAUUUAAGUUGGAUGUUUAAACCUGGGGCCCAACCCCAGCUCGGCAUCCAAAACUGGGUUUCUUGAAUAGUGGAGAGGUAGAUGGAAUUUCCGGUGUAGCGGUGGAAUGCGUAGAUAUCGGAAAGAACACCAGUUGCGAAGGCGAUCUACUGGACACAUAUUGACGCUGAGGCUCGAAAGCAUGGGGAGCAAACAGG
rnacentral:rRNA from 1 species